UCUAAUAUGGCAGAAAAGUGCAUUGGAUUUAAACCCCAAAAAUAAAGUAAUCCUAACUUUUUUUAGAA
rnacentral:tRNA from 1 species